rnacentral:rRNA from 1 species
UACGGAGGGCGCAAGCGUUAAUCGGAAUAACUGGGCGUAAAGCGCGCGCAGGCGGUCAUGCAAGUCAGAUGUGAAAUCCCGGUGCUUAACGUCGGGCGGUCAUUUGAAACUGCAUGACUAGAGUACUAUAUGGGAGGCUGGAAUUUCAGGUGUAGCGGUGAAAUGCGCAGAUAUCUGAAAGAACACCGGCGGCGAAGGCGGGCCUCUGGAUAGUAACUGACGCUCAGGCGCGAAAGCGUGGGGAG